AAAUUAUGCAUUAUUGAAUAUGUUUGUUGAUGGUCAUCUUGUCAUUUUUUCACCUCUUCUUGGCCUUGUACCAGUUGCCAGUACCAAGUUCGUGUGCAGAAUGAUGCUUAGAUGACCAUCAACAAACACUUUCAUCGUUUUGCAUUCU
rnacentral:pre_miRNA from 1 species